UACGUAGGGGGCAAGGCGUUGUUCCGGAUUCAUUGGGCGUAAAGAGCGUGUAGGCGGCCAGGUAGGUCGGUUGUGAAAACUGGAGGCUCAACCUUCAGAGGUCGACCGAAACCAUCUGGCUAGAGUCCGGGAGAGGAGAGUGGAAUUCCUGGUGUAGCGGUGAAAUGCGCAGAUAUCAGGAAGAACACCCGUGGCGAAAGCGGCUCUCUGGAACGGUACUGACGCUGAGACGCGAAAGCGUGGGGAGCGAACAGG
rnacentral:rRNA from 1 species